rnacentral:rRNA from 1 species
ACUCCUACGGGAGGCAGCAGUGGGGAAUAUUGCGCAAUGGGCGGAAGCCUGACGCAGCGACGCCGCGUGAGGGAUGACGGCCUUCGGGUUGUAAACCUCUUUCAGCACAGACCAAGGAGUUGAGUGUAUGUGCAGAAGAAGCACCGGCUAACUACGUGCCAGCAGCCGCGGUAAUACGUAGGGUGCUAGCGUUGUCCGGAUUUAUUGGGCGUAAAGGGCUCGUAGGCGGUUUGUCGCGUCGGGUGUGAAAUCCUACUGCUUAACGGUGGGCUUGCAUUCGGUACGGGCAGACUGGAGUGUGGCAGGGGAGACUGGAAUUCCUGGUGUAGCGGUGGAAUGCGCAGAUAUCAGGAGGAACACCGGUGGCGAAGGCGGGUCUCUGGGCCAUUACUGACGCUGAGGAGCGAAAGCGUGGGGAGCGAACAGGAUUAGAUACCCUGGUAGUCCACGCUGUAAACGUUGGGCGCUAGGUGUGGGGACUUUUCCACGGUUUCCGUGCCGUAGCUAACGCAUUAAGCGCCCCGCCUGGGGAGUACGGCCGCAAGGCUAAAACUCAAAGGAAUUGACGGGGGCCCGCACAAGCGGCGGAGCAUGCGGCUUAAUUCGAUGCAACGCGAAGAACCUUACCAGGGCUUGACAUGCACGGUGUACUCGCAGAGAUGCGGGGUCCUUUGGGGCCGUGUGCAGGUGGUGCAUGGUUGUCGUCAGCUCGUGUCGUGAGAUGUUGGGUUAAGUCCCGCAACGAGCGCAACCCUUGUCCUAUGUUGCCAGCACGCCGUGGUGGGGACUCGUGGGAGACUGCCGGGGUCAACUCGGA